rnacentral:rRNA from 1 species
CUGAGAUAGAAGUUACUUCGGUACAUCGGUGACAGGUGGUGCAUGGUUGUCGUCAGCUCGUGUCGUGAGAUGUUGGGUUAAGUCCCGCAACGAGCGCAACCCCUAUUGUUAGUUGCCAUCAUUCAGUUGGCACUCUAGCGAGACUGCCGGUAAUAAACCGGAGGAAGUGGGGAUGACGUCAAAUCAUCAUGCCCCUUAUGACCUGGGCUACACACGUGCUACAAUGGUUGGUACAACGAGUUGCGAGUCGGUGACGGCGAGUUAAUCUCUUAAAGCCAAUCUCAGUUCGGAUUGUAGGCUGCAACUCGCCUACAUGAAGUCGGAAUCGCUAGUAAUCGCGGAUCAGCACGCCGCGGUGAAUACGUUCCCGGGCCUU